UACGUAGGUGGCAAGCGUUGUCCGGAUUUACUGGGCGUAAAGAGCGCGCAGGCGGUCGUUCAAGUCGCGUGUGAAAGCCCCCGGCUCAACUGGGGAGGGUCACGCGAUACUGAUCGACUCGAAGGCAGGAGAGGGUAGUGGAAUUCCCGGUGUAGUGGUGAAAUGCGUAGAUAUCGGGAGGAACACCAGUGGCGAAGGCGGGUCUCUGGGCAUCUCCUGACGCUGAGGCGCGAAAGCGUGGGGAGCAAACGGG
rnacentral:rRNA from 1 species